rfam:Populus trichocarpa scaffold_4_contig_370, whole genome shotgun sequence.
UUUUUUAGGGACCAAUGUCAUUUUUUGAUAAGUCUCCUAUUUUUAGGGACUAAUAUCAUUUUUUGACGAGUCUUUUAUUUUUAGGGAUU